CUCCCGUAAAGUAUAAAAGACCCUUGCUUACAAUAGUUUUUAUCACCUGACGAAGCAUCGCAGUAGCAUACGAAACGUCGAUCUCGGUGAGGAUACUCUGGUAACUGGUGUUAUCACACAGGGACGGUCCAUACUUAUCCAAAGGAUUACGUCAUUCCAAAUCUCCUACUCAAGUGACAAUACAAAUUGGACCUUUGCUCUGGAAGAGCAGUGUGGAGUACGCAAAACAUAUGCAGGAAACUUUGAUGCUGACACAUAUGUUACCAUAUUAUUUCCUGAGC
rnacentral:lncRNA from 1 species